GUCUACGGCCAUGCCACCCUGAAAGUGCCCGAUCUUGUCUGAUCUCAGAAGCUAAGCAGGGUUGGCCUGGUUAGUACUUGGAUGGGAGACCACCCUGGAAUACCAGGUGCUUUAUUUU
rnacentral:rRNA from 1 species